AUUGAACGCUGGCGGCAUGCUUUACACAUGCAAGUCGAACGCGAAAGCGGGGGCGAACCCUCGCCGGUAGAGUGGCGAACGGGUGAGUAAUACAUCGGAACGUAUCCUCGCGUGGGGACGAACCAGUCGAAAGACGGGCGUAAUACCGCAUACGCUGGAGACAGGAAAGACAGGGGACCCGGCCAAGGGCCGUUGUGCGCAUGGAGCGGCCGAUGUCUGAUUAGCUAGUUGGUGGGGAAAGGCUCACCAAGGCGACGAUCAGUAGCUGGUCUGAGAGGAUGAUCAGCCACACUGGGACUGAGACACGGCCCAGACUCCUACGGGAGGCAGCAGUGGGAAUUUUGGACAAUGGGGCAACCCUGAUCCAGCCAUGCCGCGU
rnacentral:rRNA from 1 species